CCGCGGCCGUAUUCUCGAUAUUGCGCCUGGAUCCCGCUGCUCCAGGCCAUCCACUGUCCCGUCGUCAAUGCCUUCUCUCACCAAGCGCCUCCACAUCCCUCCUCUACAUUCUUGGUGGCGCAAGCCGGCCCCUCGCUUCGGUGCUGGCUCUCUUUGAACGGAUCGGAUACAUGUGCGGUGGUUCCCCCGUGAGCGAUCUUGAACUUUGUCGCCUUUUGGAAAUGGAAUCCAGCAACUAGACGGCAAUAAUCAAGCAGCAGCUCACCUCCAUAGCCUACAGUGGCAGCAAGGUUUGUUGAUCCACUAAUAGACGGCAGUACCCACAAAUAAUGCAAGACCUUGUGAAAGAGAUGUUGCCCAGGUUCACUCCUGGUCAAGCUAAAGUGGUCAAGGAACAGAACUAACUAAACAAAGGGACGGAAAUUGAUGCAACAGACACUGACUAGCUACUCAGUCGAUUUGCGGGUCACUUGUGCAUGUGAAUUUCCUGUCUUAAGCUGCAGGUUUUACAUCAAUGUCAAUUUGCGGGUUACUUGCGGGUUACUUGCGGGUUACUUGCGCAGGUUUUACAUAUAUAAACACUUUGCAGUUGAGCGAAAUGGCAAACCGAUUGGACCAAGGGUGAAUUCUAAAUGGCUUUAUAUCGUCCUGAGGGGGAUGUAUUGAUGUGUGCACUACAUUAGUCAGAGGGAACCUCACCCGCAAACACUACUUGCGGGAUGCCACAAGGGUUCGGUACUACCGGAGUUACCUCAGCGAGCUGAAGAAAGCCAUGAAUGGUGGCACCAAUGUUCUUGGCUACUUUGCAUGGUCUCUCCUGUACAACUUCGACUAGAACGGCACCCCUCACAUUCCUCUAUAUUACCUCUCCCAAAAAUAACCUCCAAUGUUAGGUCGCUGGACUUGAGCGAAAAGGUUAAAUUACCUCUUUCCACGUGAGAUGACACGAAAUCACAAAUGAAGAUAAGUACAAUGCAUGCAAUGCACUUAUAUCUUUGAGAAUUCUGAAACGGCAAGGAGUCUAUUAGUCUGUACAAUGCUUAGUAGCUUAUUAGUUUAUAUGUAUUGAAGCUAAUGGGUGUCACCAAUUCAAGGGGGGCUGAACUUUGAUCAUGUUGCUGUUAGAUAAUGUUUCCAGACCAUAUGCCAGCUCAAGGAUGCCUGUUUCAGAGAAUGUGAAAACAUCCACUUGUUCAGUUCCAUUGAGCUUGAAACAACCACAAUGGUUUUAUUUUCUUGUUUCGGUUGUAGCUUCAAUCUCUGUGGUUUUAUUAAUGAAAGUGAGGAGGAAUCUGUUACAAAA